CAGCCAGGUAAUUUGCACAGUCUGAUGUAAUAGGCGGUAACUGUGAUGGUGUUGUUACAUGUCACCCACAACAACAACACAGGGCUGUCAGAUACAAAUGUAGAGGGACAAAAGAGAAAGGCAGGAAGACCACCACCACCUGCACAGUGGAAGAAAGGUGUGAGGACGCAACAAUCAACACUGUCGACAAAGCAGACGACAUAGACACUCGUAUGUUCUACACCCAUUUUGGCACAGCACAGUUUGGUGCAUGGACAGCCUGGGUGUGCUGGGUCGGCCUGACAAUGUUCGCAAUGCUCAAGCUAUGCAAGUACCACCAGCAGGAGAAUAUUCGGGUGUCAAUGGCCAGGGAACGGGCUCGCCUAGUCUCUGAUCGACACUCUCAGAUCAGCGGAUGAUCGGAUGGUUCUUGGCCGGACAACUGCUGAGUCUUCCUGUCAAAUUUAUAAGCUUGAGAUUAUUUUCCUGUUGAUUUUCCUCUCUCAGGUUUUUUUCCUAUUCUUGUUUUUUUUUUCCUCAGAUUUUUUCCUCUUCUUAUUUAUUUAUUUUUUUUCUGCUUCCAUUUUUGUUUUUCUGUCAAAUUGCACCUGUUUUUUUCUUCUUUUUUUCCCCUCUUGUUUUCCUAUUGAGUUUUUUCUGUCUCUACUGUCCACCUUCCUAGCUCUCUAUCUUUUUUUUUUCUUUUCUUUUUUUUUUGGUGUGUGUGUGUGUGUGUGUGUGUGUUUGUAUACAUAGAUGUACAUAGUUGAGUUAUAUCCUGGAGAUGUGUGUGUGUGUGUGUGUGUGUGUGUGUGUGUGUGUGUGUGUGUGUGUAAGAGAGAGAGAGAGUGUGUUUUCAUCUCUCUCUCUCUCUCUCUCUCUCUCUCUCUCUCUCUCUCUCUCUCUCUCUCUCUCUCUCUCUCUCUCUCUCUCUCUCUCUCUCUCUCUCUCUCUC